CCUACGGGGGGCAGCAGUGGGGAAUAUUGGACAAUGGGGGGAACCCUGAUCCAGCGACGCCGCGUGAGUGAAGAAGUAUCUCGGUAUGUAAAGCUCUAUCAGCAGGGAAGAAAGAAAUGACGGUACCUGACUAAGAAGCCCCGGCUAACUACGUGCCAGCAGCCGCGGUAAUACGUAGGGGGCAAGCGUUAUCCGGAUUUACUGGGUGUAAAGGGAGCGUAGACGGCUGAGCAAGUCUGAAGUGAAAGGCGGGGGCCCAACCCCCGGACUGCUUUGGAAACGGUAUAGCUAGAGUGCAGGAGAGGUAAGUGGAAUUCCUAGUGUAGCGGUGAAAUGCGUAGAGAUUAGGAGGAACACCAGUGGCGAAGGCGGCUCACUGGACUGUAACUGACGUUGAGGCUCGAAAGCGUGGGGAGCAAACAGGAUUAGAUACCCCAGUAGUC
rnacentral:rRNA from 1 species